AGAGUUUGAUCAUGGCUCAGGACGAACGCUGGCGGCGUGCCUAAUACAUGCAAGUAGAACGCUGAAGAGAGGAGCUUGCUCUUCUUGGAUGAGUUGCGAACGGGUGAGUAACGCGUAGGUAACCUGCCUUGUAGCGGGGGAUAACUAUUGGAAACGAUAGCUAAUACCGCAUAACAAUGGAUGACACAUGUCAUUUAUUUGAAAGGGGCAAUUGUUCCACUACAAGAUGGACCUGCGUUGUAUUAGCUAGUAGGUGAGGUAAUGGCUCACCUAGGCGACGAUACAUAGCCGACCUGAGAGGGUGAUCGGCCACACUGGGACUGAGACACGGCCCAGACUCCUACGGGAGGCAGCAGUAGGGAAUCUUCGGCAAUGGGGGCAACCCUGACCGAGCAACGCCGCGUGAGUGAAGAAGGUUUUCGGAUCGUAAAGCUCUGUUGUAAGUCAAGAACGGGUGUGAGAGUGGAAAGUUCACACUGUGACGGUAGCUUACCAGAAAGGGGCGGCUAACUACGUGCCAGCAGCCGCGGUAAUACGUAGGUCCCGAGCGUUGUCCGGAUUUAUUGGGCGUAAAGCGAGCGCAGGCGGUUUGAUAAGUCUGAAGUUAAAGGCUGUGGCUCAACCAUAGUUCGCUUUGGAAACUGUCAAACUUGAGUGCAGAAGGGGAGAGUGGAAUUCCAUGUGUAGCGGUGAAAUGCGUAGAUAUAUGGAGGAACACCGGUGGCGAAAGCGGCUCUCUGGUCUGUAACUGACGCUGAGGCUCGAAAGCGUGGGGAGCGAACAGGAUUAGAUACCCUGGUAGUCCACGCCGUAAACGAUGAGUGCUAGGUGUUGGAUCCUUUCCGGGAUUCAGUGCCGCAGCUAACGCAUUAAGCACUCCGCCUGGGGAGUACGACCGCAAGGUUGAAACUCAAAGGAAUUGACGGGGGCCCGCACAAGCGGUGGAGCAUGUGGUUUAAUUCGAAGCAACGCGAAGAACCUUACCAGGUCUUGACAUCCCGAUGCUAUUUCUAGAGAUAGAAAGUUACUUCGGUACAUCGGUGACAGGUGGUGCAUGGUUGUCGUCAGCUCGUGUCGUGAGAUGUUGGGUUAAGUCCCGCAACGAGCGCAACCCCUAUUGUUAGUUGCCAUCAUUCAGUUGGGCACUCUAGCGAGACUGCCGGUAAUAAACCGGAGGAAGGUGGGGAUGACGUCAAAUCAUCAUGCCCCUUAUGACCUGGGCUACACACGUGCUACAAUGGUUGGUACAACGAGUUGCGAGUCGGUGACGGCGAGCUAAUCUCUUAAAGCCAAUCUCAGUUCGGAUUGUAGGCUGCAACUCGCCUACAUGAAGUCGGAAUCGCUAGUAAUCGCGGAUCAGCACGCCGCGGUGAAUACGUUCCCGGGCCUUGUACACACCGCCCGUCACACCACGAGAGUUUGUAACACCCGAAGUCGGUGAGGUAACCUUUUGGAGCCAGCCGCCUAAGGUGGGACAGAUGAUUGGGGUGAAGUCGUAACAAGGUA
rnacentral:rRNA from 1 species